rnacentral:sRNA from 1 species
CUCCGAGCGCAAGGACAGCGCGAGGUCCGCGCAGCCCAGCGCAGCCAUGGCCUACUUGGAAGUGCACCAGCAGGAGCAGGAGAAACUCCAGGGGCAGAUAAGGGAGUCCAAGAGGAAUUCCCGCUUGGGCUUCCUGUAUGAUCUGGACAAGCAAGUCAAGUCCAUUGAACGCUUCCUGCGACGACUGGAGUUCCAUGCCAGCAAGAUCGAUGAGCUGUAUGAGGCAUACUGUGUCCAGCGGCGUCUCCGGGAUGGUGCCUACAACAUGGUCCGUGCCUACACCACUGGGUCCCCGGGGAGCCGAGAGGCCCGGGACAGCCUGGCAGAGGCCACUCGGGGGCAUCGAGAGUACACGGAGAGCAUGUGUCUGCUGGAGAGCGAGCUGGAGGCACAGCUGGGCGAGUUUCAUCUCCGAAUGAAAGGGCUGGCUGGCUUCGCCAGGCUGUGUGUGGGCGAUCAGUAUGAGGUAUGAGAAUGUGCAGGGGAGGGCUGGGUCGGUAGAGUCCCAAGACCUAGGCUGCCUCAUCCUACCUGUUCCCCCAGAUCUGCAUGAAAUAUGGGCGUCAGCGCUGGAAACUACGGGGCCGAAUUGAGGGUAGUGGAAAGCAGGUGUGGGACAGUGAAGAAACCAUCUUUCUCCCUCUACUCACGGAAUUUCUGUCUAUUAAG